rnacentral:rRNA from 1 species
UGGGGAAUAUUGCACAAUGGAGGGAACUCUGAUGCAGCGACGCCGCGUGAGUGAAGAAGUAUUUCGGUAUGUAAAGCUCUAUCAGUAGGGAAGAUAAUGACGGUACCUACAUAAGAAGCCCCGGCUAAAUACGUGCCAGCAGCCGCGGUAAUACGCAUGGGGCAAGCGUUAUCCGGAUUUACUGGGUGUAAAGGGAGCGUAGGCGGCAGUACAAGUCGGGGGUGAAAACUCGGGGCUCAACCCCGAGACUGCUCUCGAAACUGUACAGCUAGAGUGCAGGAAGGGCAGGCGGAAUUCCUGGUGUAGCGGUGAAAUGCGUAGAUAUCAGGAGGAACACCGGUGGCGAAGGCGGCCUGCUGGACUGUAACUGACGCUGAGGCUCGAAAGCGUGGGGAGCGAACAGG